rnacentral:rRNA from 1 species
AGUGGGGAAUAUUGCGCAAUGGGCGAAAGCCUGACGCAGCAACGCCGCGUGAGGGAUGAAGGCUUUAGGGUUGUAAACCUCUGUCAAAUGGGAAGAAUCAUGACGGUACCAUUAAAGGAAGCCCCGGCUAACUCCGUGCCAGCAGCCGCGGUAAUACGGAGGGGGCAAGCGUUGUUCGGAAUUAUUGGGCGUAAAGCGUAUGUAGGCGGUUAGAUAAGUCAGAUGUGUAAGCCCACGGCUCAACCGUGGAAUUGCAUUUGAAACUAUCUGACUUGAGUUCAGGAGAGGAAAGCGGAAUUCCCAGUGUAGCGGUGAAAUGCAUUGAUAUUGGGAAGAACAUCGGUGGCGAAGGCGGCUUUCUGGUCUGAUACUGACGCUGAGAUACGAAAGCCAGGGGAGCGAACGGGAUUAGAUACCCCGGUAGUCCUGGCCGUAAACGAUGGGUACUAGGUGCAGGGGGUAUCGAUCCCCUCUGUGUCGCAGCUAACGCAUUAAG